AGUCAGUAUCGAGUUAGCGCUUUAUGUGGGUUGUAUCUUAUAUUCCUGCCGGUCGGUGUUUGGAUAAAGCAUUUCAGUUUAUCCAUAACAGUGUCGCAUUGUUGUUGACAUACUAAAACAAUUCCCAAUAGUAACACAUUAUUUAAGAUUUGUUGUGGAUUUUUAAUGCAGAAAACGCUGUUGUGAUUGUGAUUUUUCGUGAUUCUUCAAUGUUUAGUAAAUGCAACUGAAAGGAAUAAACAACGAAGGAUAUCGUAAAAGAGAAGGAAAACAACCCUCACAUAUGCUGGCUACACUGUGUUCUUGUGAAGAAAUAAAAUUAUGGAAAACGAUAUGGUUAGCGUAGAAUGAAAAAAAAUCAAAGGGCAUCGAAAUUGGUGAAGUUAGUGUUGGUACGACUAAGCGUAAGAAGAUGCUAUGAAAGUAUGAAAUCGAUUCAAACAUGCGCAUGUUAAACAAAAAAAAUGUCGAAAGUUGAAAUAGUAUGCGCAUUUUGACUGAAUGGCGGAAAGAAGUAGUGAAUGUUUAGAUUCUUUCUAAUUAUUCAUAUAAAUAACAAAUCAAUUUCCUCACCUAAUGCGGAAGAGGUUAUUAUGCGAUUUCUCCUAUUCGUGCCUUAAGAACUAAACCAUAAUUACGUGGCUUAUAUUCUAUUGAAAGAAAACGACGAAAAUAUGCCCAUGAAUUAUAAAAGUUGAAGUUUGUUCAAUAAACUCGAGUGUUUUGGAUGUUUCGUUGAUCAUAUUAUUGUUUGUAAUAAUAAUAAUAAUAGUAAUUGCCAGUGCCAAUUCUCGGUGAAUCUUUCGGAUGUAAUCCAGCUGAUAAUUUUCAUUAACAGUCGUAGACCACGCGGAUCUCUGCUGUAUACAGGAGGCGUCCCCAUUCCUCUCGAUUCAUGAUUAUUCGCCGCCAGCCUCGAUAGCUGAGAAGGGUCCGCAGGUCGUCCUCAAUUUGAUCGAUCCAUCUUGUCCAUCUUCUAACAACAUACCCGGCUCACCGUAACCGCCCGACCUUGGCCGUUUGGACGAGGGUUAGUCCUCUCAGCAACUGGUGCAGUUCAUGGUUCAUUCGCCUUCUCCACGUACAGUCAGCGUUUUGUAGUCCAAAGUAACCACGAUUUCCUGACAAUAUGUCGUCAACAUCGGUUUAGUCGUUCCCGAGAAUGUAAUAACUGCUACUAAUCGGUAAUGAUAUUUAUUCACGGUCGCUGAAUACAAUGGGUCAUUGUCUCAUCUUUUGACGGCCAUUCGUUCAUCACUCGAAUCGCCAAGUCGAACACGUAAACUAUGGAACAAAUAUUCCAAAGGCAAAUCAACUGAGAAUCAUUUGAUGUAAUGUCACAAGAUCACACUCAGCAUGUUAUGGAAGAGACAGAAGCGAUAAUCAAAACUCACAGUCUCUAGAAAACAGUGUUCUCAAAAGCAAUAAACCAGUAGCCACGCGAUCAAAUCGAUAGUAAUAAAUAGUAAUUAUUUCGUAUCAAUCGAGCAUCCGAAACACGAGCAAAACUGGAUCACCCGGCGCCGUACACGAGAUGUCCUCGUCGACAACUGUUGGCUCGUUGGGUGUUGAAAUAGCACACUUUCUAACAACAAGUGCAAUCAUAUAUAAUAAGGUAGUUAACCAAACACCAUCACGGUUGACAAACUAAUGAGAAUGUACCGAGUGUGAUAUUAAGUGCAUUCACCUAAGGUGAAGUCGGUCGCCAAGCGAACAUAAAAUCAUCGGAAAAUUGAAUACGAAUUUCUUGUCACAAAAUAAGCAAUCAGCAAGAUGCAAUCGUGUAACACAACAGUAGCAACGCUAAGAAGGCACCUGCAUCGAUUCGUGAUCAUGUUGAUAGUAAUAGUUAGCUGCUCUUUAGAUAGGAUUGAAAGUUGGACGCCAGAUGUCCUAACCAAGUCGUACAUUACGUAUGAUAACACGAUACCAGCCUUUUUCGGCAACAGCACUGACUAUUUUAAGCUGCUCGAUCAGGACGACGCUUCGAUACUGAUCGGAGCACGGAAUGCACUUUACAACAUCAGUCUCGACCGUCUGAUUGAGAAUGCGAACCAACGAGUGACAUGGAGCUCGUCGGAUGCACACCGAGAACUGUGUACGCUUAAGGGCAAGCUGGAUCAGGAUUGCCAAAAUUAUAUCCGCGUAUAUGCACGGGUCGGGGCCAAUAGGAUUAUGCUGUGCGGGACGAACUCGUACAAACCGCUGUGUCGUUACUAUAACGUACUUCCCAGCGAUGGGACCAUAGCCUAUGAUAGCAACGAAAUGGAAGCACUCGGACGAUGUCCGUAUAAUCCGCUUCAUAACAGCACUUAUGUUUAUACAGAUGGUCAUUUAUACUCAGCGACGGUGGCCGAUUUUUCCGGUGCAGACCCGUUGAUUUACCGAGAACCUCAAAGAACGGAACAGUAUGACAGCAAGCAGCUUAAUCAGCCGGCAUUCGUAAGUGCGAUUGAACACAACGGAUACGUGUUAUUCUUUUUCCGCGAGGUGGCCGUCGAGUACAUGAACUGUGGCAAAGCGAUCUAUUCCCGCGUUAGCCGCGUGUGCAAAAACGACAAAGGAGGGCCACAUCCGCUGAACGACAAGUGGACGUCGUUUCUGAAAGCGCGACUGAAUUGUUCCAUUCCUGGAGAGUAUCCUUUCUACUUUGAUGAAAUUCAAUCCACUACAAAAACAAUAAACGGCAUUUAUGGAGGUAGUUCGAAUCAGAUUAUCUACGCAAUCAUGACUACUCCCAAGAAUGCGAUCGGAGGAUCGGCCGUUUGUGCUUUCUCGAUUCAGGAUAUUCUUGACACGUUCGAAGGUCCUUUCAAAUCGCAACGUGAUAGCCACUCUAAUUGGUUGCAGGUUCCUCAGAGCCAAGUUCCCGAGCCUCGCCCAGGAAAGUGUGUUGAUGACAGUCGAACGUUGCCGAAAGCUUCGGUGAAUUUUGUUAAAAUGAACACUUUAAUGGAUUCUGCAGUGAAUUCCCUUCAUUCGCGACCAGUUUUUACGCGAGUUAGUUUACUCUACCGUCUAUCGGCAAUCACAGUUGAUCCACAGGUGAAAGCUCUCGAUGGGAAAACGUAUGACAUUAUAUUUGUAGGCACUAACGAUGGAAAGGUUAUCAAAUUUGUUAACAUUUUAUCAUCCAACACAACCGGUGAUAUCAGAACAGUCGUUAUUAGUGAAACGCAGGCCUUCCCACUAGGAAACAAAGUCAACGAGUUGACUAUUUCCAAAAAGAAUAAAAAGCUUAUUGUGAUAAGCAAUGGAAAAAUCAUAUCGCUUCCGUUGAGCAAUUGCAACGAACACGAGUUCAAAUCUUGUCGUAAAUGUUUGGAACUGCAAGACCCUUAUUGUGCUUGGGAUGACGUGAACCGAGAAUGUCGUGCCGUGGAAGAUAUACCCACCAACAGUUAUUCGAUUGAGAAUUUGUACCAACGGUUGGAUGGUUUAAAAGUAAACGAAAUCUGCAAAAAGUAUGAUCAACGUGAUCAACGCCAGCACAAAACUGAGGACAACGAUGUGUACACACGGGUCGAUGGCUCAGGUAGUGCUGAAAAGGAGAAGCCCAGCGAUACGAAAAACGUCGUCAUCAUUCAGUCCACUCGGGGAACCGUGUCCGCCGUUGGUCCGAUUGAUAUAGAUAAUGAAAUAUCAAUGACCUCAAUCGAAGGAAGUGAGUUGACGAACAAAAUCAGCUCCCACCAGUAUCAUCAUAAGACAGAUUCCAUCGCAAAAGAAGACAUUUCCGUUGCGUCAUUAGGAUGGAAAUUCUACGGUAUUUUGGUGGCGUUCUCGUUUGUAAUUGGAAUUUUACUCGGUGGUCUGAUUACACGUCGUUUUCUUAUCAGAAAGCCGUCCUUUCCCGGCAGCAGUGAGCAUCGAAAUCAGUUAAAUUGGCACCACGCCAAGAAUUUGAGCAUGUUAUCACAGAACCGAACAAGUGGGAAAGAUGUCAAUCUACUGAUGAACACCAAUCAGUAUCACACGCAACAUCAAGCAAUUGUUCAACAACUACAGCAACAGCAAAAUAACAUGAAAGACAAUAUUGACUUCGACUUCAAGGAUCGAAGUGUUGAAUGCAAAAAUUCCACGGAAAACUUGGAAAAGGACAUCAGCAAAGGAAUGGGCACCCUGCAGAAGGUGAAGAAGACGUAUAUUUGAUAGUAAGACUGACUGCUUUCGGUGAUUGGGACAAAUAACCGCUCGCUGUGCUACUGCGCAAACCCUCCCGCAACCCAUACAUACACACACACUUUUUAGAUAUUUCGACCGCCACUCAAGUUCUUCACCAGUUGGAGUCGUCAAAAUUAUCUCUCCUUCUUCUGCCUGUGGAUUGUUUCUUCUUUUUCAUCUAAAGCAUAUUAAGACUCGACAGUUGAAGACAUUCAAACCUUAGAAGAAUUGUAAGUGAUUCAAAAAGUUACAAAUGUAAUUUGUAACUUUCUCACCAUUCAUUGCCUUGAGCUGAUACUGAUAGAAGCAACAGGACGGAAAAUAUGUGUACAGGACCAAUAUUAUAGUGAGAGACUGCGUGCCUAGCACAACCCAUUCCCUGUCUAGCCAACCGUAGUUGGUCUAUUCAGAAAUGGAGGCCUUACAGUAGAAUAAAACCACGUGCCCAUUAUGCACUGAAAUGUGCGCAAAAAAACAGGAAAUGCCUUUUGUGAUCCUUGUGAUGCUUGUGAUCAAUGGUAAACCCUACUAUUAGGCCGACAACCAUUCGCGAACAUUACUCACAAUCUUUGAUAUGCGUCCAUCCCCCGAUGAAUGAACUAUAAUACCUAGGUAUACCCUUGCUUAAGGAAACGGGCUUACCAUAAACGGAUGAACAAGUGACCAAAUUUCCGUUUUGGAUAGGGAAGCAAUUCAAUUCAUAAUUACGAGUGGUGCAGUAGAACGGGCGUCAAAUUGUAUACGUAUUCUAAUAUUCGGCAUACUAUCAAGUUCUUGCUAAAACAAGAAUAUCUAUCAUUUAAAGCUACUACGCCAAGUUGCUAAAAGUGAUGUUCAUACCAUGUCUAGGUAUAUGAUGCGAUUAUUUGCCAUGUGUGACACCAAAUUUGACCCUGGUUCUUACUGUAAAUGCACUCUUUGUUUUUUCAUUACAUUAAUGAUUUAGCUAAUAGCCCUUAGUUUUAGCAAGUCUUUAAUUCACAAUAAUUAUUCUGUUAGCGCGCAAGUAUCACACAAAAAAUUGCCACCGGGAAUCGAUAUUCAUGACAGAGAAUUUAGAAAAGGGCACUCAUUUUCCAUCAUAGAGAACUAUUAUGAAUUUUUAUAUGUAAUUAUUAUGAACAUUUUAUGUUAAUUGCUCAAGAAUCUCAAUCGAAAAUACUCCGGAAUGUAAACUAAACGCGAAACGCUAAGCAACAACGCAAGUAUUUUCUAUAAACAUUUUUUUAAUAAGUUUCGUUUGUUUAGUGUAAGCAUCUCCAACCUUGUUUGAAAAGCAAUACAUGUUGUGAACGUCGACAUCCAUCCAUUAAGACCGAAUAUAACGCAUUUUUUGGGUUAGAUCGAGUGGUUCGUUGAUGAGAUCAUCUUUUGAAAAGUUAGGCUAUGUAAUUGUGAACAAAACAAAACCAUGAGAAUAGAUUUUUUUAUAUAUUUAUGCUUAGUUAAAUACGAACAAAAAAUGUGAUAAACUUGAGUAUUUUUUAUUUUGUAUUGUAGAUCGCACUAGGUUUUUAUCUGUAAGGGGAUUAAGUAUAAACCCACAAAUGGACAACCUUACUUGUAGAAUAUUUUUAUUUAAAUAGAAGAAUGAAUGAAUAAUUCGUUGAGAGUUUGUAAUAAAUACUUCGAGACAUUGUAACUCGUUAAAUCGUGGACGAAAAUUGUAAUUAAUUUACGUGUAGAAGUUAAUUUCAUGUUCUAGAAUAAUUUUAGAAUAAAAUGACGUAGUUUUCAGGAUGACAAAAGUAUGUUUUAUUUUGU